CGGUAGUUGGAUUUGAAUGAUAUUAUUGAGACACUGCAAAAGUAACUCUCCUAAUAAUAAUGAAAAGGAUAUUGGGAUAUCCCAUUAACUAGUUAUUAGGAAAUAUUUAUUGGAGGAUUGCUAGAGAUGCUCUAAGCCGGCUUCCCUAGCUCAAGCGCCUCCAUUUGCAUAGGGCCUCCAUUUGCAUAGGGACUAAAUGUGAUACAAAAAGCAGUUUCAGGAAGGUUGGUACACACAUAUUCAACAUAUAGUUCAAAAGCCGUACAACUCUCUAGGGAGCGGUCGGGUAACAUAGACCCAAAAGAGAUACAACACAAACAGGCUGUAGAUGCAACCUAUGGACAUGCAAGUUCAUAAGUAGCAAGCAAUACUGCACGACAGCGGAAGCAUCCUUAACAGCCCAACGGAACAUGCAAGUUGGGUGCGGAGGCGAUCUUCUACUCGAAAGCUUCACCAGCGACGUAGUUCGGGUCUUCCUCUAUAUCAACAAAGCAAGGGUGAGUACAUACGUACUCAGCAAAUCCAUCCCUACCCUACAGAAGGGAUAAUAGAAUAUAUGCAUAGGGGUAAUUCAAGGAAUAGGUCAAGGUUUAUUUUGCAGAAAGCAAUCUUUUAUACACAUGCAAGGUAUGAUUUGAUAAACCGGUUUUUGCAAAAUACAUAUAUACCACAAUAGUUAUGAAAGAGUGAGGUGAUCGUAGUUAUGAAAGAGUGAGGUGAUCCUACACAAAGGAUCCAAGUUUUAAGUGCUACUGGACAUCCUGUCCAUGGUAACACACGGCACACUUGUCGGAUAUUUUCAAAAUCCAAUUUUUCACCAAAAGGGUUUGCCCAUCUUUCCAAAAUAACUAGUUAUGUGACCAAGUCAUAACUCGUCUAAGACCGUGGAUAUGGCUAUUCGAAUAGGUUUUAACUCUGUAGAGGUAUACACUUUACCCACAAGUAGAGUACCGCAACACGAACACCGUAGUGCCGGUGUGGAUCCAUCAAAUCCAUUACCCAUCAUAGCAUAGUCAUGACUAGUCAUCCAUGAGAGCUAACCAAGGGAUUCCUGACCUUCCUACGAGGUCUUCAACUAGGCCACUAAUACUUGCUUACGCCUGCUCCUUGGCUUCCCAUUGCGCGCCUGCCUACGGAUGACUAUCAAACUAGCUAGCCAACGGAUGAGUAUCAGACUAGCUAGUGGGAUUUAUGCUAAACCUUUGCCUCACACAAAGAUCGAGCGGUUGUACGAUAAGUUGGGUUAGGCAAGAUGACACAUGAACUCGGUCCUUAAUUAAGACAAGACGGAUCUCCCAUACUCAGCCACACAUGCACAAACCAAUACUCCAAGGCAUCCCACACAAGGAACCCUGAUCCACCCAUCUAAACAAUCACCAACACCAGUUGUUUAUUAUCACUUUUCCAAAAUCCCAACCCAUACUCACCCCAACACACUCAACAUAUUUUAUCUUUUGUAAAACUAUUGCAUUUGUAAAACAAGUAGUAACGAGUUGAGUAAUCAGUUUCUAAGCAUAUUACUAUCAAGGUAAUCGGCUAAACAGAGAGUAUCAUGUCCAGCGAUAAAUCCUAUGUCGUCAAGGUAUAAUCAGGAUAUGUCAAUUUAAGGAGUGGCUAUCCAAUCGGGUUAUAACUAGAUCAAGUAGUAAAAUAAUCUGAGCAUAUAUAUAUAACUGGAUGCAAUUUAUGAAAACAAAAAAGGCUUCUACGGGUUGUGUUUAGAAACUAGGAUAAAUAUGAUCAAAAGGGAAUAGGUUGGACUUGCCAUCUUCAAAGCCUUCCGGAAGCUCCUGCUCGCGGUACGAGUCUUCCGGCUCCGGCUCGCAGUCCUGGCCUUCAUACUCCGGCUCGCGGUACUGGCCUCCAAACUCGCUCUCUUCCUCAGUCACUCCAUCGUCUAUGGCAACGACGGUGCAAUGACAAACAAACACAAACAAGAACAAACACAAAAUGAAAUAAGCUCAAACGGAGGGGAGAACAGGUUGAAUAGAUACAAUAUAAUUUUAGAGGAAUUUAGGAAAAAGAAUGAAGUGAAUCGGAGUUGGGAUAGCUAAGAUAUGGCUGUGCAAAGAUUGGCUACUAAUUAAAUUCUGAAAAUGGAUUAACAAAAAUAGGUGGGUGCUUCGCUGGUCCCUGUACAUGAUUGACCUCAGUGGGUUUUUGGACCUUUCGACUAGCACAUGGACCAGUGAUGUUUAUUUGGGAGCUGGCUGCAAUAAAGAGAAAACGGAGAGAGGGAUGGAGACAGGCACGGGAGGGAACAGGGACAUCAUCCCCGUUCUUCCCAGCACUGCCAUGAACAGCAGCAGGAGCUCCGCCGGAACGGCACUCCCGGCCACCGUUUUCGAAUCCAAGGGCAUAGGUAGAGAGAAGAGUGGAUGGGGAUUCGGUUCUGGGGUUCUUGGUCGGGGUGAGGGGGUGGAAGGAGGUCGGCCACGGGCGGCCAUGGAUGUGGCUCUGGAGUUUUUGGGAGCUCGGUGUAGGCAAGGAUAUGGAGGGCCGUUGCUUGGGGAAGGUAGAGGAGGGUGUGGAGGUGCUCACUGACGAACUAAUUGAGUUGUGGUGGCUUGUCAUCGGAGAUCAAUGAGGGAGAGCGCAAGAACAAAGAAGGGAGAAAUUGGAGUGAGGAGGGAGAUGAGCGCUAGAGCUGGGCGGCUCGGCAAGCUCGGGAUGGUGACGGAGAGCAGCUCGGGGUGGCUUUUAUAGGCAGCGAGAGCAGAGUUGCGCCAGCGGCUCAC
rnacentral:lncRNA from 1 species